rnacentral:rRNA from 1 species
GACAGAGGGUGCAAACGUUGUUCGGAAUUACUGGGCGUAAAGGGCUCGUAGGCGGCCAACUAAGUCGGACGUGAAAUCCCUCAGCUUAACUGGGGAACUGCGUCCGAUACUGGAUGGCUUGGAUUCGGGAGAGGGAUGCGGAAUUCCAGGUGUAGCGGUGAAAUGCGUAGAUAUCUGGAGGAACACCGGUGGCGAAGGCGGCAUCCUGGACCGAUAUUGACGCUGAGGAGCGAAAGCCAGGGGAGCAAACGGG